AUUGAACGCUGGCGGCAUGCCUAACACAUGCAAGUCGAACGGCAGCACGGUACUAGCUUGCUAGUAUGGGUGGCGAGUGGCGGACGGGUGAGUAAAGCAUAGGAAUCUGGCGAGAAGAGGGGGAUAGCCGCGGGAAACUGCGGGUAAUACCACAUAAAGUCUACGGACCAAAAGUUGGGGACCGCGAGGCCUGACGCUUUUUGAUGAGCCUAUGUCGGAUUAGCUAGUUGGUGGGGUAAAGGCCUACCAAGGCGAAGAUCCGUAGCUGUUCUGAGAGGAUGAGCAGCCACACUGGGACUGAGACACGGCCCAGACUCCUACGGGAGGCAGCAGUGGGGAAUAUUGGACAAUGGGGGCAACCCUGAUCCAGCAAUGCCGCGUGAGUGAAGAAGGCCUUAGGGUUGUAAAGCUCUUUUGUUGGGGAGGAAGGGUGUUGUGUUAAUAUCGCAGCACUUUGACGUUACCCAAGAAUAAGCACCGGCUAACUCUGUGCC
rnacentral:rRNA from 1 species